GGUCAAGUAUUUAAGGGCGUACGAAGGAUGCCUUGGCACUACCAGGCGAUGAAGGACGUGGUUACCUGCGAUAAGUUUCGGCGAGCUGGAAGCAAGCUUUGACCCGGAAAUUUCCGAAUGAGAAAACUCCAUACGGCAAAACCGUAUGAUCUCCGCAAGGAGAAGCUAAACUCAGGGAAUUGAAACAUCUUAGUACCUGAAGGAAAAGAAAGUAAAAACGAUUUCGUUAGUAGCGGCGAGCGAACGCGAAACAGCCUAAACCGAUGUUAUGUCAAGCUUGAGGGCGUUGUGAUAUCGGUGUUGUAGGGCUGGCAUGGGUUCACCUCAAUGAACCUGCAAAGUUACCAAAUUGCCAUGUAGAAGAAGUGUUUGGGAAAACACGCCACAGCGGGUGAUAGCCCCGUAUUUUAAACAUGUGUGAUCUUUGAGCCAGUUCCUGAGUACCACGGAGUACGUGAAGUUCCGUGGGAAUCCGCGAAGACCAUUUCGCAAGGCUAAAUACUAGGUAGUGACCGAUAGUGAACAAGUACUGUGAAGGAAAGGUGAAAAGCACCGCGGGAGC
rnacentral:rRNA from 1 species